rnacentral:rRNA from 1 species
GACAGAGGGUGCAAACGUUGUUCGGAAUUACUGGGCGUAAAGCGUGUGUAGGUGGCUGCGAAAGUCGGAUGUGAAAGCCCUGGGCUCAACUCAGGAAGUGCACCCGAUACUGCGUAGCUAGAGUACCGGAGAGGUUGGUGGAAUUCUCGGUGUAGAGGUGAAAUUCGUAGAUAUCGAGAGGAACACCUGUGGCGAAGGCGGCCAACUGGACGAGUACUGACACUGAGACACGGAAAGCGUGGGGAGCAAACACGGG